GGGCCGUGGUUAUACUGACCAUGCGAAGGUAGCAUAAUCAUUAGCCUCUUGAUUGGGGGCUGGAAUGAAUGGUCUGACGAGAGGCAGCCUGUCUCCCUUACUAAAUUGAACUUAAUCUUUAAGUGAAAAAGCUUAAAUACUCUUGGAGGACGAUAAGACCCUAUAGAUCUUCACAUUUAUCUUUUUUAUCUAACGGUAAGUAAACGGGCAAAAGAAAAGAAUGUUUGGUUGGGGCGACAAUAAAAGUAGAAUAAACACUUAAGAAUAUGUGCACACAAAUAAGUGACCAUUGAUCCUUAGAUGAAUAUAGAAUAAGUUACCUUAGGGAUAACAGCGUAAUUCUUUUUGAGAGUUCAAAUCGACAAAAGAGUUUGCGACCUCGAUGUUGGUUCAGGGACCCUAUUUGGUGCAGCAGCUUAGUUAGGUAGUCUGUUCGACUAUUAAAUCCCUACGUGAUCUGAGUUCA
rnacentral:rRNA from 1 species